GAGAGAGUGAAAGAACUGGGAACCAGCACCAGUGCAUUUAAUUGCUUCCCAUCUUCCCAUCUCCGUCAUUAACUCAUUAUUCUCAAGUAACUUAAAAAAACCCUAAUGCUGGCUCAAAGGCCAAUCCCAUCCCCCCUCACUCUCUCUGAGCUUUGAAGCUCACUCCAGCGGCAGAGCCUCCCUCUCCCUCUCUCCCUCACAAAAUAUAUUCAGAGAACUUCAAUCCCUCAGUAUUUCUGGCAUUUUCCUUCUACACCAACCUCAAGUUUUGCACCAAACCCAACAACAACAAAGCUUCUUCUUUGUCACAAGAAUAAUAAUAAUCAUAUAUCAUGAAGACAACAUCAAUAACAACAGCAGCAGCAACUUGAACUGAAGGGAACUCGUAUUGAGAAGCAGUGAAAUAGCAACCGUUGGUGCUAUCUUCACUUUCAGGUAACCCCUUCUCUAUGUUCUUUUUUCUCCCUGUUUAUCAUUAUCACCAUUUUUGAACUAGGGUAAGGUCAUGUAUCUUUUAUUUUGAUUUGAGGAAAAGGAUUUGAUUUUGGAAAUUUUCUGUGGUGAUUUGUUGGCUUGUUUUCUUUGAUUUAUGCCUUUGUUUGCUCUAAUUUUGUACUAUGGUUUGUUUUUUGGUGCGCUUUUCAUUUUAAGAGGAUUACUAAGUUACUUAAAGAUUCAUUUUAAAAAUUUUGUCCUUCAAAAUUAUUACUUGACAUGAUAUAAAAAGAUUUGUGAUAUUUUCGACCUUAAAAUGCACUUCAUAUUUCAUCUUAAAAAGGUGUUUUGACUAUAUUUGGAGUUUUAGACUUAAAUAUACUCAUUUUAUAAGGAUUUUGGACAUCAUUUUUUUUAACUUGUAUAAAUCUCUAUAAAUUAUGUCUUUUUAGAAGCAGUAAAGACAAAAAUUCUAGCAAAUGAGUAAGAGGACCAAAUCCAAGAAAUAUAGGGUAAUCUCCUAUGUUUCUCUUACCGUUAAUGAAGAGUCUUAAAUUCAUACUUUUUGCUUAUCUUAUUCUAUGUAAGUGUAUACAAAAAUCAGUUAAUAAGAAAAUUAAAAUACACAUAUAUUUAUACAUAAAUACAUUGGUGAUUGAUUGUAUUAUAAAAAUAAUAAUUUUGUAUAUUUAUAUAACAAAAAGAGAUUAAUCUCUCAUUCCAUAUCACAUGUACAAAAUUUUUUAUUGUUUAUGUAUAAAAUUCUUUAUUUAUAGAUUAAAAAAUUAAACCAUGAAAUAAAAUAUAGGAGAAUAGUAGUAAGUUAGUUGAUUGAAGAGUGCCAUGACUAAAUACUUGGCAAUUGUCAGAUUUAUUUGAAUUUAAAAACCAUUUCAGUUAUUUGUGAUGAGUUAAAAUAUAAUACACUUUAUCCUUAUUAUUUUCACAUUAAUUCAAAACUAAUGCUGUAAAUGGUUAUUUGUCCAAUACACUGCUUAAAAAGAAUGAUCGAGUUGAGCGCAAUCUUUCUCCUUUUGAUAUCAGAAUUUGAAAACAAAUUUUAAGCGCUAUCUUUCCUUCUUGAGUGCACAGAUUUAAUGCAGGUUUAAAAACAAUUUCUUUUCUAGAUUCCCUCUAUCUCUCUUUCUCUUCUUUCUUUCUUGUACUCUCUUUCUCUCUGAUUGAGUACACAAAUGGAGUGGCUGGUUCAAAAUACAUGGAGAUAUCACAAGCGAGGAAGAAGAAGCAAGGACUUCGCUGCUGAUGGAAGGCAGUAACGGUGUCUGUUGAUAAUACAAAAUCGAGAGAGACAUAGAAAGGCAGAACAAAGCAGAGAAGAUGAAAACAACAGAGUGACAAAAGGAAGCACGACCGAAGAAGGAGAAGAAGGCGGCAACGACGGUGAUGGAUUGAGAAAGGAGGAGGCUACGUCGAGAGAGAAAGGAAGAGGAGAGUGAGGUGACGACGGUGAUGGAUCCACAGAACAGCGUCACAGCGGAACUUUACCGAUGGCGGCGGCGGGUGCUGCAAAUGCUUCGAAGCAGUUCAUUACGACGUCGUUGUACAUUGGGGAUCUGGACCCUGAGGUCGAUGAGAACCUCUAUGAUUUGGUCGAUCAGGUUGGACAAGUGGUUUCGGUUUGUUUUGCCCCCACCCUUUUCUCAAAAUUAAUUGCUUGUUUUUGUUGUUCAUUUUUGAAGCUGCAGAUACAGUUGGUUUAUGAAGUUUUCCGGCGCAGAACAGAAACGACCCCUUGGAUUUUAAUGCUGAAAGAAGAGUAAGAGAAGAGGCCACAGAUGGAGGCAUUUGGUUUAGGCAGUGAAAAUCAUGUUGACACACACCACUGUAUUCUGCUGUUGAUCUUAUCUCCAAUGGAAAGAGUUCUCUAAGAACUAACCAUUCAAGUGGACCUCAAGAUCUUUCAUAAGUCAACGCAAAUAAGAAUAUCACAGUAACAAGAAAGUAAGUCAAUUACUUUUUUGUUAUUUUGAUAUUCCUAUUUGUGUUGCCUUUUGGAAGAUCUUGGGAUCCACUAGGAUAGUUAGUUCCUAAAAAUUUCUUCCCAUUGGAGAUAAGAUCAACAGCACAGAGUAUAGUGGUGUGUGUCAACAUGAUCUUCUUCACUGCACUUGUGGCACAGUUGUUCCUCACGUCACUUUGCCACUUCAAAUAUGGGAUCUUCACUGCACUUCUUUGCCAUCUGGAAAGCUCCAAAACAUGGUUUAGGAAUGGCAGCAGUUUCUUUUCCCUUGGAGGAAGCGGAACCUUGUUGCUUGGCAGUUUUUUGAACCACAACCUUACUAUGUCUCCUAAAGACUGGUCCGGAGGAAGCUGAUUUGGCAAAGGAAACUGUAGUUUGAUAAAUAGUGUCAACAUCCAAAGAAUCUUCAUCUAAAAUAAGUGCACAUCGUUUCUCAACUGCUUCCUCCAACAAUGAUAAAAUGCCUUUCAUACAAGGUGCAGUUGACCUUGGUGGCCAACUGGCAUCAUCAGUUUCUGAACCAUCUAUAGUGUUAUCGACUUGAGGAUCUACCUUGCCAUUGAUAUAACUGUCAUUAGUUCCUAACAUUACCUCAGAUCCUAAAACUGAUGUAGAAGGGCCAUCACUGCAGCUUUUGCUAUCCAUCAUAUCCUCGGCUCCAUUGCUUUCAUUCCAAGCUACAAACUCAUAUUAGUGAUAAUGUUCCCGCGAGACUCCGGCUCACCAUAGGAGCCUGUAACAUUGUUUAUACAUUCGGCAUCAGAUUUUCUUGCAAGUGAAGUAGCACUAGUCACAGAUUGCUUGCUAUCUUCUAUGGGAGACAACACCUCAACUUUUCCCAAAGCCAAAUCACUUGAACUCGAAGAAAUGCUAGAGUCAUUGCCUUCAUUCUCUACUGAAUUCUCCUGCCGACUUGUUGCUGAGACUUCUGAUGCAAGUAUCUUGUUAUUUUGUUCAUUGGUCCCCUUUGAAUUAUCUGUGGGAUUUGGUAGAGCCGAAUUCCAAUUUUGCUCGUUUUCAAAUGAAAGCAAUACACAUGGAACGAGAUCCUACAUUUAAAAAAUACAGGAGGAAAAACGAUGUUACAAUAGCAUCAUCAUUAGUUUUUAAAGAAAACAGUCUUAUGAUAUAAUAGCAAAACCAAAUAAACAAAGAAAAGGGCUUAAAUCCAUUUGAUCUUCAUUCAAUAUUGCAUACAAAAUUGUGGCAAAAAUGUUUAUACCCUUAGUUUGGCUCCAAUCUUUCUAUAGUCACUAUUAUUUAGCCCUUGGCAGUUUAUGCAGACAAGUUCACACUCUUCAAAUGCCUCUGUCGCAGUAAACACCAUUUUUUUCCUGCAACAAGAAAAUAUAUCAUUUUCUUUGUAUAAACAAUAAAAAUGAAGACAGAUAAAUGCCUGUUUGCCAGCAGAAAAGAACAAUAAUUUUGCUUUAAAGAUGAAUUGUAGUGGACAUUCUCAACAUUAAAGAGGUACCUAGCUUGCAUAUGGGAAUUAAUUCCCUUACCUUUUUACGCAUUUCAGUUACUUGUUGUAGCGUUAAACCUUC